CUGGGCCGUACCAAUAUGGGCCGCCCUCCACCGCACGAGCAUCACCGCCCACAUCUUUGGGAACGCCUCCUGCCUCCUCCGCGACGCGCCGCCUGCAUCCUCUGCGACGCGCCGCCGUCGACGCCCCGGAGCGCGUCGUCCUCGAGUAAAACAGCGAGACAGCACUGCGAGGGAAGAGAAGCACGCGAGCCUUCUUCCGUUCCAAAGCUUCUACCAGAGCAACAGACGAGUGAGGAAGCGAGGUAGAAGGUUCUGCGGCGGAGAGAGAUGGCCGGGAAGGGAGGCAAGGGUCUGCUCGCGGCAAAGACGACGGCGGCCAAGGGAUCCGCCGACAAGGACAAGGACAAGAAGAAGGCGCCCGUGUCCCGCUCCUCUCGCGCCGGGAUCCAGGGUGCUGUCGAUGAAGGAAAAUAACCGAACAGAGCCUUCUCAAAAUAGGUUCAUAUAUAGAUGUGCGAUUUUUAAGCUUUCUGGUCGUCUUUGGCAGAUAAUGGCCCAGGUUUUCAUCCAUAACAAGGACUAAAAUAAGUAAAUGUUGACGCUGGUUAUUCGGAGCAGCAACAUGAUUAGCCUGGGGCAGCACCAUCAUUGGAAAACCACUAAUGUCCUCAUGGUUACUCCAUUCAGUGGUUUGACCCUUCCAGGUAUAUCUUAUUGAUUUAUUAGCAGUGCAUUAUAUGCUUCUGGCCAACUCAUUUCGCUCUUCAUUUUCUCUAGAAGCAUGAACAUGUCACUCCGCAUUCAGUAUAUUUUUGGCCACUGCGUUUUAAAUAAUUGGAAUUUUACAUGCUUAUAAUACAAGAGAUAGAUCUACGUAAAUACUGUGUUUGCAUUAUGUUUUGCCAAAGACCUUCGAAUGUGAAUGUGUGCAUUAUGUUUCCUAACUUAUAUGGGAGGCAUGAACGGGAUCCGGGGAUGAUGCCUUGUUCACUGGUUGUUGGCAUGUAGUAGCUCUCUUUCCUGGUUUAAUCAUAUUGCAAUUUCCAUGUGGUGAAGCCCAAACUGAAUACCGCUCCAUACAUGAAGAAGGGCCUCAUGAUGAGCUUUAGGAAGAUGGAGCAAUAACACAUGCUGAGUUGGAAAAAUAAGGGUAAUAAUGCAGUCCAUUUGAAGUUGUAAAAAGAUCAUCCAUAGUUGAAAAACAUGACAGAGAACAAAGGAGUCUAAUUUUGUGAACGAGGGAAAUCAAAAUGGCAGGAUAUUUAUCUUCUCAUAGCUCUAGAUAUAUUGAAACUUGGGGAGGGAGAACACACAUUCUCUCACUUUACAAUGCAAGCCUUUUACAUAUAGAAAAUGCCAGAAAGAACUUCUCAACGCAAAGCAAUCCUGGGGAAGGACAAUUUUUUUAAAUCUUGGUUAACGUGUCUCUAAUCUGGCUGAUAACAUUUCACGACAAAAGGGGUUAUAAGUAUAACAAUUUUUUCUAAAGCAUGCAGUCAGCAGGUAAAUAUUGUGCCGUUACAGAAACAUUGCCGAGCAAAUCUAGAUUUUUUUGAAGUGCUGCCAAAUGGCCUCCCUUGAAUAGCAAGACCAGGAUUUAUCUUUUUGGUGAAAUCAAUGUCAGGUAAGAGUUUUAUUUUACUAUAUUUCAGUGUUCAAUGUGCUCAGGCUUUAUAACAUGCUGCAUUAUUGUGUUCCGAGUUGACAAAUUUUAGUGUUUGGUGUUUUACAGAGAUUUGAGGAUUUGAGAAAUAAACCAUAUAUGGUUUUGUGCUUGCGGUGAUUUUGGCACUUGGAGUCACUUUGCAUGGCUGGAAUAGAAUCAGAUCUCAUAGUAUAACCAGACGAGUGUGCAUCACAUAUUAGAUAUAACCGCUGAAUAUUAAAUACCGCAGUGUGCAUCAGAUUCAAGGUGGUUUGCUUGGAACAUGGGUUUUAGGAUGAUCGUGAGCAACCUAGAAGCUGAAGAAGCCUUCAGUGGUAUCUCGUGAUAUAUUUCCGACCCUUCUAGCCGAGAUUAAGCGGUUUGUGCCAUCCCCCAAGCUGCACACAUUAUAGUGGACUUACAGUUGCUUCAAGGUAAAGUCUUGUUUGGGACGAGAUGAAUGCGGAGAAAUGGUUCGUGAGCGCUGCACUGCUGCACUAAUGUGAAGUGAGAUGAUGUACUAGGCAUGUUUUUUUUUUAUUUGGUUGGAAUUUCGCAGCUCUUAUUACAUCACAGUUUGU